rnacentral:rRNA from 1 species
UGGCUCGAGGACGACGCUGGCGGCGUGCCUAACACAUGCAAGUCGAACGGGGUGUCCUUCGGGGACACUUAGUGGCGAACGGGUGAGUAACGCGUGAGAAACCUGCCUUUCAGUGGGGGACAACAGUUGGAAACGACCGCUAAUACCGCAUAACAUCAUUUUAUCGCAUGGUAGAAUGAUCAAAGAUUUAUCGCUGAAAGAUGGACUCGCGUCUGAUUAGCUAGUUGGUGAGGUAACGGCUCACCAAGGCGACGAUCAGUAGCCGGACUGAGAGGUUGAACGGCCACAUUGGGACUGAGACACGGCCCAGACUCCUACGGGAGGCAGCAGUGGGGAAUAUUGCACAAUGGGCGCAAGCCUGAUACAGCAACGCCGCGUGAGGGAAGACGGUCUUCGGAUUGUAAACCUUUGUCUUUGGUGAAGAACAAAUGACGGUAGCCAAGGAGGAAGCCACGGCUAACUACGUG